UAGAGGAGGCACCCAUGCGUUGAAAACGCAUAUAAAAAUGGUGCCGACGAAAUGCCGCCUAGUGUAAGCGAGGGGGCGAUACGAUUU
rnacentral:sRNA from 1 species